CAGUAGCCGCGGUAAUACGUAGGUGGCAAGCGUUGUCCGGAAUUAUUGGGCGUAAAGCGUGCGCAGGCGGUUCGUUAAGACAGAUGUGAAAUCCCCGGGCUUAACCUGGGAACUGCAUUUGUGACUGGCGGGCUAGAGUAUGGCAGAGGGGGGUAGAAUUCCACGUGUAGCAGUGAAAUGCGUAGGGAUGUGGAGGAAUACCGAUGGCGAAGGCAGCCCCCUGGGCCGACACUGACACUGAGAGACGAAAGCUAGGGGAGCAAAUGGGAUUAGAUACCCCCGUAGUCCCUGUCUCUUAUAC
rnacentral:rRNA from 1 species